UACGGAGGGUGCAAGCGUUAUCCGGAAUCACUGGGUUUAAAGGGUGCGUAGGCGGUUAGGUAAGUCAGAGGUGAAAGGUUGUCGCUUAACGAUAAAAUUGCCUUUGAUACUGCUUAACUAGAAUUGGUUUAAGGUAGGCGGAAUGCGUCAUGUAGCGGUGAAAUGCAUAGAUAUGACGUAGAACACCAAUUGCGAAGGCAGCUUACUGGGACUUGAUUGACGCUGAGGCACGAAAGCGUGGGGAGCGAACAGG
rnacentral:rRNA from 1 species